AUGUAAUUUAAAAUUUUAUUUGAAAAACCAAAAAGGAAGCAAAGUUGCCACUGUUGCCGUAUUGUAUCAUCUCAUUUAAACUUGAGAAUUAUAUGAAAAUGAUCAGAAAUUCACAAUCCAUAAAUCAAAUCAACUUAUUUUGAUGAAGUGCUUGAUGUUUGUCUGGAUCUAGGAAGGUUAAAAAGUUUUUAAACUUUUUAACUGAAUUUGAAGAAAAUAAAUCUAUUUUUUGGUCUCUAUGACAAUUUAAUGGCAUUGCUCGUUGGCCGGUGGGUCCAACGGUACCAACGGUGAUGUCCCACGUGCUAGCAUCAACGGCGGCAGUCCGAUGGCAGUAGCAACGACUUUCUGACGACUGUUAAAUUUAUAUUUUUUAUUUUUACAAAUUAAUUAAUUAAAUAAAGUGAUUUUA
rnacentral:lncRNA from 1 species